GGGGAACCUCUGUUUCAGGCUGAAGUUCACCAGACACUUGCAUGCUUUGGGCUUGGCAGCAAGAGAUAUGCAAGGAGAACCCACCUAGGGAUCCUCACAGACCAGACUGAGCAACACUAAUGUACAUACAGAGGAUCAAUCCAUUAAAAUACCACUGCAGAAUGAAUACAUAAUUGUCUGAAGUGCAGGGGCACAAAAGCAGUUCACCACGAAUGCUGGCAGUUGCAAAUCAGUUGCAUUUGUUUCUUCCUUUAACUAGCAUCCACUGCAACCUGAUAGUGCAGCAAACUGCAUGAAGAUGGUACAGACAGAUGCCAAAAAAGAGGGCCCCCAUCAGCCCCGUGUGCCCCGCUGUGAACCACCAACACGCCAGGGUGCUGCUGAAAAACAAAUGGAAGCUGGCAGCAGCUGAAGGCCUGUGGUGGUUGACCAAUCUGCUCUGAGCUGUUCCAGGAGCCUCCAGAGGACAAGAGGAAUGUGACAGUGCUCCUUCUGUUCUGGCUGUGAGAAACUGAAAGCACCGAAGUCAGUUUGCUUGGUGAGCAGCGGAGUCACCUCCUGGUCCUGAUAGGUGAGCUGGAUGAGACCAGGGUACAGACUAGAGAUCUUCAAUGCAGCCUGAGCAUCUCAUGUAAUGUCAAGACCUUAAGAGCAGAGGAAGGCACAUCAGAGUAUCAUGACAGAAAAAAAUGGAUGAGAAGAACCUUAAAACUGUGCCUGUAGAUCUGAUCAAUGGAUCUCUGUGAAGUCCUUGGAUUGACUCUGCUCUUGGUCUGCAGGAACUUAUUACAGGCAUGGAACUUCUUCGAUUGGUCUCCCCCCUGCUUGAGGAGGCUAGAAUGCUUUAUUUAUUUGAUGUCAUAUUUGGUUAUACAUGAAAAUAUUUCACUAUUUAUUUUUAUAGUUUUGCAACAAUAUGUUAUGGAGAAAGCAUUUCCCAUUUUCCAACAAACUCUCAGUCAGGGUUUAGUUAUCUGUUUAUUAUUAGUGAAUGUGUCCCAGAGUUUUGCUGAUAUGUUUGUUAUCAGUGCAUCAAAGCUUGAGUGAUAAAAUAAACUAAUGUGGUCACCAGUUGUGCUAUUUGAACAAGUUCUGGAGUAGCAGAUGCAAAGCCGAAGAAGAUAUCUUAUCCCAGCUUUCACCUUUUGACUGGCUGGAAGAGACCAGCAGGCAGCUAAUUGUCUUUGAUGAAGAUCACGCCCCGAAAACCUGGGCCUCCAAAUAGGCGCAAAGCAAGGAUCUGGCUGUGAGGAAGUGGGCACAGUUAAAACUAGGGCUGCUUUGUCCUUCACCAGCACGGAAGAUGGCAUGCAUUGCUGCCUCUCUUGACUUUGCUUUCUCUCCUCCUCUUGUUAACUUUUCCACGAGCUGGAGUCAUAAGUAGCUGUAAGGGUGUCAGCCACUAAACCAGCAUUAGAUUGCAAAGAGAAAAAGGAAAAAAAAAAAACAUUAUAAAAGUUGUCUUAUAUGAAGAUGGAAGAACUUCGGCUAUUUGGGAGGAUGACUUGCCUUAAGUGACCAUACACUGUUGCCAGCAUGAUGCGUGCUUUGUCAGUUCAGCAACGGGCUAGCGCUGGCAAUACAAACAUAGCAGGAGUGAGUGUUGGAAUGCCCUGAAGUUCAUUAGUGUGUGAUCUCAUUAAAUUACUGUCCAAAGAAAAGGUGACAUUUACUGCCUGGCUUCUCUGAGCUGAAAGAUGGGAUCCUUAAAUCUGGCAGGCUUUGUCCUGAAUUUAACUUGCAGAUUUCAACAAAAGAAAGUAACAGUUAUAUUACCUACCAGAAAGUCUGAUUAAGUAACUGCACUCUCUGUGCUGGGCAAGGAAUGGUUUGGGUGGCAGUAUGUUGGUCAGAUGUGAGGCUCUCCAAGAAUGACAUUUGUAAGACCAGUAGUGGACUUCAACUAUUCUCUAUUGGAACAGGAUGCCCAGAGAGGUUGUGGAUCCCUAGAGAUGUUCAGGGCCAGGCUGGACGUGGCUCUGGGCAACCUGGGCUGGUGGUCUGGUCAGGUCAGCAACCCUGCACAUAGCAAGGGGGGGGGAGGGGGUGUUGAAACUAGAUGAUUUUUGAGAUCCUUUUCAACCCAGACCAUUCUAUGAUACUGUAAGGAGGGAGACACUUCCCUCCUCAUCUUCACGUGUUAAAAUCCAAAGGCUGCUUUUGCCUUCUAUGUGUCAGUAUGAGCCAAGGACAGAAGAGGAAUGACGAGCACACUGUGGAAAGUUUUUGAAACCUCCCUCUUCCAAGAAGUUGGUAAAAAUGCUGAGCUGAAAGACUCAAAGCAACUCACUUGAGACUCAUUUUCAGUACGGUUAAAGUUCUGAAACCCAGACUGUGAAAUCUCAGGAAGCAGCUGGGUUCCUAAUUAAAACAAAUCGUUAAUAGAUUUAGCAGGCCAAAUUUAUGCUUUUCAAUUAAAAACACUAUUGGGAUCAUUAUUUGCUCUUGUACGUGUGUGCAAUUGUAUGGUGGUGGUAAGUGUACACUGGUGGUGUAAUGCACCAAAGUUUUAGGACAGACUACUUGGCCAUGGCACGUGCUAAUGGAUUUGGAGCAUCUCAGUAAGUAGAACACAACUUGGAAGCAGGAGAGAGUGAGUCAAGACAAAUACAGUGUCAAGGACACUUCAUGCACUCUUUCCCUGGCCACAGUUUAUUCUGCAUGAGGCCGGUCAGGCAUUUUGCUCACAGUAAGUUGCUCUCAUGUGAAAGCUACAAAUGUUUUACAGCCCACGUGAUGGGCCUGAGCUAUUUAUUGACCACGACUAACCAGGAAGAAUUUGUCCUCCAAUUAGCCCUGUUGUUUUUUGUUGUUUUGGUUCACUUCACUGUGGUGGCUCUUACACAGACUGAGGCAAAACCAGUUUUGUUGUUGUUAAUUAAUUUAUUUUUAUACCAUGACAAUAAUUCUCAUUACACCCAAUUUGAUGAACUGAUUUUACUUCCAUCUUUAUUUGCGGUGAGACAAAGAGUACAUCUGUAUGUUUUUGUCCCCAGAAAGAAAGGCAAAAGCCAUGUAUU
ensembl:lncRNA